GGGACCGUUUCCCGGAUUUUGCGGCGUAAGCGCGCGCAGGCGGUUUCUUAAGUCUGAUGUGAAAGCCCACGGCUCAACCGUGGAGGGUCAUUGGAAACUGGGGAACUUGAGUGCAGAGGAGAAAAGCGGAAUUCCACGUGUAGCGGUGAAAUGCGUAGAGAUGUGGAGGAACACCAGUGGCGAAGGCGGCUUUUUGGUCUGUAACUGACGCUGAGGCGCGAAAGCGUGGGGAGCAAACAGGAUUAGAUACCCUGGUAGUCCACGCCGUAAACGAUGAGUGCUAAGUGUUAGAGGGUUUCCGCCCUUUAGUGCUGCAGCUAACGCAUUAAGCACUCCGCCUGGGGAGUACGGUCGCAAGACUGAAACUCAAAGGAAUUGACGGGGGCCCGCACAAGCGGUGGAGCAUGUGGUUUAAUUCGAAGCAACGCGAAGAACCUUACCAGGUCUUGACAUCCUCUGACAACUCUAGAGAUAGAGCGUUCCCCUUCGGGGGACAGAGUGACAGGUGGUGCAUGGUUGUCGUCAGCUCGUGUCGUGAGAUGUUGGGUUAAGUCCCGCAACGAGCGCAACCCUUGAUCUUAGUUGCCAGCAUUAAGUUGGGCACUCUAAGGUGACUGCCGGUGACAAACCGGAGGAAGGUGGGGAUGACGUCAAAUCAUCAUGCCCCUUAUGACCUGGGCUACACACGUGCUACAAUGGAUGGUACAAAGGGCUGCAAGACCGCGAGGUCAAGCCAAUCCCAUAAAACCAUUCUCAGUUCGGAUUGUAGGCUGCAACUCGCCUACAUGAAGCUGGAAUCGCUAGUAAUCGCGGAUCACAUGCCGGGGGAAAAACCUUUCCCCGGGCCUUGUACACACCGCCCGUCACACCACGAAGAGUUUGUAACACCCGAAGUCGGUGGGGUAACCUUUAUGGAGCCAGCCGCCUAAAGUGGGACAGAUGAUUGGGUGAACAGCCACACCACGCGCUCCGCUGUCCUAUUAAACGCGGGGUCUAACGCGGGGGUUU
rnacentral:rRNA from 2 species